rnacentral:rRNA from 1 species
UACGGGGGGGGCAAGCGUUGUUCGGAAUUACUGGGCGUAAAGGGCUCGUAGGCGGCCAACUAAGUCAGACGUGAAAUCCCUCGGCUUAACCGGGGAACUGCGUCUGAUACUGGAUGGCUAGAGGUUGGGAGAGGGAUGCGGAAUUCCAGGUGUAGCGGUGAAAUGCGUAGAUAUCUGGAGGAAUACCGGUGGCGAAGGCGGCAUCCUGGACCGACAGUUGACGCUGAGGAGCGAAAAGCCAGGGGAGCAAACGGG